GGCACGGCCGCCGCCGCCGCCGCCGCCUUCUUUUCCCAGCCCGCGGAGGCCGCCGGGAGCCGGCAGUCUCGCGCUGCCGUGCGGCGGAGCGGCGGCAGCACCGCGCUGCCUGUAGGCUCCGCCAUGCCCUCACCGCCCUGCCGGCGCGGGGCCGCGGUGCCAUCGGCGAUUCUCCGCCGCGCCCUUUUUCGCGCUCUCCCCGCCCGUCCCGCCGUGCCUUCCGCUUCCGGCCGCGCCCUUCCUCUCCCACAGCGCCCCGCGCCGCGCCAUGGACCACAAUGACAAUGAUUUGCAAGGAACAAAUAGUUCAGCGUCAUUGGGUGGUCUUGAUGUUCGCAGAAGAAUCCCAAUAAAGCUGAUCUCAAAGCAGACCAAUAAAACCAAACCUGCACCUCGGGCUCCCAGAGCUAUGAACAGGAUGCCUGCAAAGACACAAGCUGGGGAUGAAGAAGAAUUUGAUUUCAAUGAAGAGGAGCGAUACGAAUGCAAAGGAGGUGAAAUGUUUGGAAAUCAAAGGAGAUUCCCCGGACCCAUAUUUUGGGACUAUAAGAUAAACUUGCUGGGGGAGAAGGAUGAUACGCCCGUCCAUUUCUGCGAUAAGUGUGGGUUGCCCAUCAAAAUGUAUGGGCGCAUGAUACCUUGCAAGCAUGUUUUCUGCUAUGACUGUGCUAUACUACAUGAGAAGAAGGGAGACAAGAUGUGUCCUGGCUGUAACGAACCUGUCCAGCGCAUCGAGCAGUGUGUGCGAGGGUCUCUCUUCAUGUGCAGUAUAGUCCAAGGGUGCAAGAGAACUUACCUGUCACAGAGAGACUUACAGGCUCACAUCAACCACCGCCAUAUGAGAGCUGGAAAGCCUGUGACUCGUCCUCCUCUUGAACCCGUGCAUCCUCCCAUUGCCCCUCCGCCUGCUGAGAUCCCGGAGCGUUUCAUAAUGCCUCCAGAGAAACACCACAUGAGCCACAUUCCGCCGAAGCAGCACAUCAUGAUGCCGCCGCCUCCCUUACAGCACGUGCCGCACGAGCAUUACAACCAGCCGCACGAAGACAUCCGCCCGCCUCCUGCCGAGAUGUCCAUGGCUCCGCCGCCGCCUCGCCCGGUCAGUCAGGACACCUUCCGCAUCUCUACGAGAAAACACAGCAACUUGAUAACCGUCCCUAUUCAGGAUGAUUCGAAUUCGGGUGCUCGAGAACCACCUCCGCCCGCCCCGGCACCUGCUCAUCAUCACCCCGAGUAUCAGGGCCAACCGGUGGUAACGCACCCGCACCACAUUAUGCCUCCGCAGCAACAUUAUGCGCCGCCCCCCCCUCCGCCUCCUCCAAUAAGCCAUCCUCUGCAGCAUCCUCCCCAGGCGGCAGGCACACCUCACAUGGUGUAUAGCCAAGCUCCUCCGCCGCCAAUGACCUCUGCUCCUCCUCCGAUAACCCCGCCGCCUGGACAUAUCAUUGCCCAGAUGCCGCCGUAUAUGAAUCAUCCUCCUCCGGGACCUCCCCCCCCUCAGCAUGGAGGCCCUCCCGUAAAUGUCAGUGCCCCCCCUCCCCAUCACUAUAACCCUAACUCUUUGCCACAGUUCAGUGAAGAUCAAGGAACUCUUAGUCCCCCUUUCACGCAGCCAGGGGGCAUGAGUCCAGGGAUUUGGCCGGCUCCCAGAGGGCCGCCUCCACCUCCGAGGAUGCAGGGGCCUCCUGCUCAGGCCCCUCUUGCUGGACCUCACCACCCCGAUCAAGCCAGAUACAGACCCUAUUACCAGUGAUCUCAGCAAUUGUACAAAUAGAGAGCGCUAUGAAGAGGAUAAAACUAUAUACAGCAGCCUUUUAAUUAAUUGUAUGGGGGUUGUUUUGUUUUUUUUAAAUACUGUCAUUUUGACUGUAAGACGUUUUGGGGUUUGAAUCUUUAAUGAUUUUUAAGCCUUGGCUGUAGGACUCUGACUUCAAAUAUUCUGUAGUGCUAAAAUAAGUGGCUUAGUAGACCACAGUUGCAUUUUAACUGAACUUCUGUCUAUAGUGUGGCUAAUUGUCCUAAGAUGAACACUUGUAAUAUCACUUUCUGGAGAAAAUGAACAUGUGUUGUACCAUUCUGAAUAUUGUUUUUGUUUAAAUCCAAUGUUUAGUUUUCACUUGUGAUACAUUUUUGUUAACCUGUGUACAAUAAUUAAAUUGAACUAUGGUUGUAAAAGUGGUGGGCUUUUAUGUGAAGUUAACACAGACACGGUUCCUGGACACUGUUUUGGCUCUAGAAUUUCCCACAUGGGAAGCAUAAUGAAAUAGUUAGGAAACUUAAUUUUUUUUUUACUAACAUAUGCUGCUACUUAUAAUGAAUUCAGGCUAUGGUGCAUUUGUGGCACUGGUAAGCAGGCAUGUGAAUGCUGCAUUUCAGGUGGUGGGGAUUUUUUUGUAGUUGUUUUUAAAAUCCAUAUCAAAAGCAAGAUAAAUUUAUCGGAAAUCCAGACACCUUAUAAUGUGGAUAUAGGGUUGUUCUGCUUGUAUUUGGGUGUGGUUUUUUUUUUGUUGUUGUUGUUAUUUUUCCAGGCUAGAUUUGUUUCAGAAAAUUUUGUUCACAGAUACUCCUCACUGGUGUUGAAUUCAGACUAUUCUAUUUCUCUGUGGUUCUUUUUGCAUGAAGAUAGCCAAGAAUGGGCUUGCUAGGUCUGUGAGGAAAAGCAGGUUAGUUCUGGUGAAGUGGUGUUAACCUCAGUCACUUCAUACAGCAUGUGUAGUAGGAACACUUUCCAUUUGAAUGCAGGAAAUAAAGGGCCAGCAAUCCCUUAAAUAGAUACAAGAAAAUAACAAUAAAAGCUACACAUCCUUGAUCUAUUUCUAUUUUGUGAUACAGGCUGAAUUGGACAGUCAACAGGUGGUUUGGCUUAAAGAUUGCAAUGUAUGCAGACUCUCAGGGCUGUUUUGGCCCAUUUGGUUUUUACAUUUACAACCCACAUUUGGUUUUUACAAGCACACUUGCAUAUAGUGACUAUGAGAUGUGAAUGUUCUCUGUCAUUGCAAUUGGAAUCUGAACCCAACUGAUAAAAAGUGUGGCCUGUUUGAAAUGCUUAUCUGCAUUUCCAAUCAGUGUUGUGCUGACCCUGUGGGUUAGUUCCGCUUUGUUUUGGAUUGGUUUGGUUUUGUCUUUGUUUUUCUUCCAAAUGCCACAUUUCUAGCAGCGGUGCUUCUAGAUGAUGAAAUCCAGUGUUGUGUUUUUGGUUGUUUUUCUACGGUUUGUCAUUUCCUGCGUUUCUCAAAUAAGAUGAACCAUCUUCAAAGCCUGAAUCUUGCGAUUUAUUUGGUAAAACUUUCUUCAAAGUUUUCUUUUAUCAAAGGGCUCUGGCAAUACAACAUCCGUAAUUCUGUAGUUUUGUGUGUAAAGUGUGUAUUUUUAAUUACUUGAGCGAAUGUUCUUUAGAUUUGUUCUGUUUGUGACUGCCAUAGGUUUCCUUGUGUCCACAGGCAAAUCUUUUGGACUACCCUUCAAAGAAAUAGAGCAGCACAACACAGCUUUAGGGAUGUGCAAGUAAAUUCUGGGGUGUGCAGAUGGCAGUAAGUGUCAUUCAACACAAAUUUAACAGAAAAUCAUAAAACCAAGACACACACUUUUAACUUUGAGAAAUAAGUUGUUUCAAAUAAGCAAAGAAAAGGCUGGUUGUGGCAGUGUCCUACAGGAUGCAGCUGGAUGAAAACUGUAUGCUUUAGUGUGUAUGAAGGGGAAAAUGGCUGCUUAUUUUGUUUCAGUAGCUCAUAAAAAGCAGGAGGAACAUUUCAGCACCCUUGAAAUGAAUGGCAUUGUGUGUUUUUGCUAGAUACUACGUUGUCUUGUGCAACAGAUGGAGGUUUCCUCCCUGGGUCCAAGCUCUUCUAUGCAAAUACUGAUGUAGUUCAGAGGUGAAGGAGAACAGCUGCCCUUACUCCAUCAGAAAGCACAAAAGGUAAGUGUGUACCACUGCAGAAGAUGUGUGAGAAUUUUGGGGUCUUGUUUAUAUUUGAGACAAAGGUGACCCCAAAAUAUGACUGAAUUAUUACCCCCCAAAAUGAGUAGGACACCUUGAAUUGUUUGGUGAGUUGAAAGUCUCUGAGAACUUACCUGAACAGUCAUCUCCUGCAGCAGGAUUUGGACUUGAGUCAAACUUCUGUGUGCUGCUUGCAUCAGAGGGCCUACAUCUGUUUUGUAUUUACAUCUUGAAGCCUUAGGGUUCCCCAUAGAGCUACGGGAACUGUUGAUACUUCUAUACGUACAAAGUCAAAAGAUUUCAGCAUGGGUUAACAAUCUUUCUGUGUGGUUUUUGGGGGGAAUUCUUUUUCAAAUCCCUGGUGGUUUUCUCUUCAUCUUCAGAAAUUGCGUACGCAUUAUUUCAUUGUAUGAUUAACAGCCUUAGAAGUGCUGAGAUGUACCUUCAAAUCCUAUGGGUUCCCAGUGGGGCCUUCCUUAAAGGCAAAUGUUUGGAUUGUGUUGGUUUUGUUGGUUUUGUACUCUGUCAGUGGCAACAAUCUCACUCCCGGGCUGUUACCAAGCAGAUCUUUGUUCUAAGGCAGCUCUGAUGGCUUUAGAACGUGUUAGCUAUUGUAGGGCAGUGUGAUAAUGCCAUUAUAGGGAAUGAAGAGUUUCUUGGUUUGUGUUCACCAUGGGAUGAAGUAAAGAACACCAGAAGUGGCCUGAAGCCAUCCAUGGUUCCAGAUUCUUGCUUCCUUAGAAUUUCUCUUCAAUUGUCUCUAAUUCUGCUUAAAGGAUUGUCUGCACCCAUGCAUGAUUUACAAAUGCUCUCAAUUAUGUGGCCACGUACUUUGGGGUUUGGUUUGGUUUUUUGAGAAUGCUGUUAACAUAAAGGUUGGUGCCUGCAUGUGUUACAUGAUGUUUUUCCUUUUAAGAAAUGAAAAUGAAACACGGUAUCUGUUCUAGAUCCGAUCCAAGAGAGUUAGAUAUCCAUUCUGUAUGGGGUUCCCCCCUUCUUUUCACUUAUUGCUCUCUAAGGAGCACUGAACUCAGUUCGUUUAAAAAUGAAGUGGAAUUAAUUGGUGUUCAUUUCACAUUGGAGUUUGCCCACACAAUGGCUUCUGUGCUGGGGAAGGCCAGGCGCUUACAGGAGCCAGACUGAACAAAUGCCUUCUCUCAGGAUUGUAUCUGAACACACCUCUCUCCUUACAGUGUUUCCUGCUCUGCUAAACUUGUGUCAGGUGCUGUGCUGCUUCUCUCUGGAUGCACUGCAAUGUUGUUGACAAAAAAAAAGUACAUAUUUGCAUAGAAAAAUCCUACUGUGCCUUAGAAACUGGGAACUACAGUGGAAUUGCCACUUAAUAUUAAAUGUAUAGAAAGUGAGUCUGAGCUUUCUGUCUGUGAUUCUCCUGUAUGCACAGGAUCGUGCAAAUUAUGAGUUUUUUUGUCUCGAUUUCAUUUCUAAAGAAGUGUUGGUGUCACACAAUGUGUUCUACUCUACGGUGCUACAGACAAUUCUUAGCCACUGCUAAGGCAUCUUUACAUGGUAACAGUGCUUCCCCUGAGCAUGCUGCUCAGGUGUGUGCAUGGGAACUGCUGAGUCAUGGCCUGAACCUCUGAUUGAUCACCUGAGGCGAGCCAUGAGUCAGCCAGAGGAGCACAGCUGAAGGCAAUUCACCUGUGCUGCUGGAAGGAGUGGAGCCAGGCUCCACCCCUCCUGGACCUAUUUAACAGCUGGCUACCAGAGGGGAAGGAUCUCUUCUGGAGAUCACCUCUCUUGGUGUUUUGUGGUGAGCUCAGCCAAAGGGUGUGUUACUGUCUCAUUCUGUCAGAAGACAAGCCCUGUUCUGACAGCCUAUGUCUCUUUGAAGGCUGCAUUGGAAAGGCAAUUGAGUGACAUUCUGACCUCAGUUUUC